rnacentral:rRNA from 1 species
CCUACGGGUGGCAGCAGUGGGGAAUAUUGCGCAAUGGGCGAAAGCCUGACGCAGCGACGCCGCGUGAGGGAUGAAGGUCUGCGGAUCGGAAACCUCUGUCAGCAGGGAAGAACGGUCAAUGUGCUAAUCAGCAGUGAAUUGACGGUACCUGUCGAACAAGCCACGGCUAACUACGUGCCAGCAGCCGCGGUAAGACGUAGGUGGCAAGCGUUGUCCGGAUUUACUGGGUGUAAAGGGCGUGGAGCCGGGCUGACAAGUCAGAUGUGAAAUCCGGGGGCUCAACCCCCGGACUGCAUUUGAAACUGUUGGUCUUGAGUAUCGGAGAGGCAGGCGGAAUUCCUGGUGUAGCGGUGAAAUGCGUAGAUAUUAGGAGGAACACCAGUGGCGAAGGCGGCCUGCUGGACGACAACUGACGGUGAGGCGCGAAAGCGUGGGGAGCAAACAGGAUUAGAUACCCUUGUAGUC